UACGAAGGGGGCUAGCGUUGCUCGGAUUGACUGGGCGUAAAGGGCGCGUAGGCGGAUAGUACAGUCAGGCGUGAAAUUCCUGGGCUCAACCUGGGGGCUGCGUUUGAUACGUAUUGUCUGGAGUUCGGAAGAGGGUCGUGGAAUUCCCAGUGUAGAGGUGAAAUUCGUAGAUAUUGGGAAGAACACCGGUGGCGAAGGCGGCGACCUGGUCCGAUACUGACGCUGAGGCUCGAAAGCGUGGGGAUCAAACAGG
rnacentral:rRNA from 1 species